UACGUAGGGUGCAAGCGUUGUCCGGAAUUAUUGGGCGUAAAGAGCUCGUAGGCGGUUUGUCGCGUCUGCCGUGAAAACCCGAGGCUUAACCUCGUGGCUUGCGGUGGAUACGGGCAGACUAGAGGUAGGUAGGGGAGAAUGGAAUUCCCGGUGUAGCGGUGAAAUGCGCAGAUAUCGGGAGGAACACCGGUGGCGAAGGCGGUUCUCUGGGCCUUACCUGACGCUGAGGAGCGAAAGCGUGGGGAGCGAACAGG
rnacentral:rRNA from 1 species